rnacentral:rRNA from 1 species
AGAGUUUGAUCCUGGCUCAGGACGAACGCUGGCGGCGUGCUUAACACAUGCAAGUCGAACGAUGAAGCCCAGCUUGCUGGGUGGAUUAGUGGCGAACGGGUGAGUAACACGUGAGUAACCUGCCCUUGACUCUGGGAUAAGCGCUGGAAACGGCGUCUAAUACCGGAUACGACCUACCCCGGCAUCGGGUGUGGGUGGAAAGUUUUUCGGUCAAGGAUGGACUCGCGGCCUAUCAGCUUGUUGGUGAGGUAAUGGCUCACCAAGGCGACGACGGGUAGCCGGCCUGAGAGGGUGACCGGCCACACUGGGACUGAGACACGGCCCAGACUCCUACGGGAGGCAGCAGUGGGGAAUAUUGCACAAUGGGCGAAAGCCUGAUGCAGCAACGCCGCGUGAGGGAUGACGGCCUUCGGGUUGUAAACCUCUUUUAGUAGGGAAGAAGGACUUCGGUUUGACGGUACCUGCAGAAAAAGCACCGGCUAACUACGUGCCAGCAGCCGCGGUAAUACGUAGGAUGCAAGCGUUGUCCGGAAUUAUUGGGCGUAAAGAGCUCGUAGGCGGUUUGUCGCGUCUGCUGUGAAAACCCGAGGCUCAACCUCGGGCCUGCAGUGGGUACGGGCAGACUAGAGUGCGGUAGGGGAGAAUGGAAUUCCUGGUGUAGCGGUGGAAUGCGCAGAUAUCAGGAGGAACACCGAUGGCGAAGGCAGUUCUCUGGGCCGUAACUGACGCUGAGGAGCGAAAGCGUGGGGAGCGAACAGGAUUAGAUACCCUGGUAGUCCACGCCGUAAACGUUGGGCGCUAGAUGUGGGGACCUUUCCACGGUUUCCGUGUCGCAGCUAACGCAUUAAGCGCCCCGCCUGGGGAGUACGGCCGCAAGGCUAAAACUCAAAGGAAUUGACGGGGGCCCGCACAAGCGGCGGAGCAUGCGGAUUAAUUCGAUGCAACGCGAAGAACCUUACCAAGGCUUGACAUAUACGAGAACGGGCCAGAAAUGGUCAACUCUUUGGACACUCGUAAACAGGUGGUGCAUGGUUGUCGUCAGCUCGUGUCGUGAGAUGUUGGGUUAAGUCCCGCAACGAGCGCAACCCUCGUUCUAUGUUGCCAGCACGUUAUGGUGGGAACUCAUAGGAGACUGCCGGGGUCAACUCGGAGGAAGGUGGGGAUGACGUCAAAUCAUCAUGCCCCUUAUGUCUUGGGCUUCACGCAUGCUACAAUGGCCGGUACAAAGGGCUGCGAUACCGUAAGGUGGAGCGAAUCCCAAAAAGCCGGUCUCAGUUCGGAUUGAGGUCUGCAACUCGACCUCAUGAAGUCGGAGUCGCUAGUAAUCGCAGAUCAGCAACGCUGCGGUGAAUACGUUCCCGGGCCUUGCACUCAC